AAGGAAAAGUGAGAAGGGCGAAGGGAUUAGGGAUUCAGACUCAGCGUUCAUCAUUUAGGGUUUCAGAGCUCCAAACGACAGCGUUUUGCUGCACAGCUCAAAAAUCGGUUGGGUCACGGUUCGGUUCGACCGACCGAUUACCAGCCGGUUCACCGGUUCAACUCCGGUUUCUAGAUUUUAUGGUUUUCCUUAUUGUUCGAACCGUUUUACUGCCCAAUUCACGGUUCGACCAGCCGGUUCAAACAGAGGAGCAACGCUGAUACCUUUGUUUGUGAGUAAGUCGAGAUUGACUAGAUAGGUGGCACAAAGAUGGAGUUUUUUCAAAACCUCCUUAUGGAAUUCAUAAGAGGCACAAGAGUUGAACAUGGCUGGAUCAAAGUGAGAAUGUGGUUUGUUGAACUUGUUUUUGAAAUCUAAUCAUGGUUCUGAAAAUCGGUUCGAACCGGCCGAUCGAACCGGUCAAACCAUGAACCGGGCAGUAAAACGAUUCGAACAUUGAGAAAAACCGUAAAAUCUGGAAACCGGAGUUGAACUGGUGAACCGGCCGAUAACCGGUCGUUCGAACCGAACCGUGACCCGGCCGAUUUUUGAGCUAUGCAGCAAAACACUGCCGUUUGGAGCUCUGAAACCCUAAAUGAUGAACGCUGAGUCUGAAUCCCUAAUUCCUACGCCCUUCUCACUUUCCCUUUCACAGUUCAGCUUCACCAUUCUCAUCAAGGUUCAAAGAGAAGUAGAGAACGCCAUCACGAUCUCACCGGCUCACACGGCCACACGGGUUCGCCGUCGCGCAGUCAUGUCCGUCGCGCAGUCAGCUCCGUCGAGCAAUCACUUCCUUCGACCAGUCACCACUCGGCGUCGCUGUCUGUCUCCUACUCUCCCUACUGGCCUACUGCAUGUUUGAUUGAAGCGUUGAAGCCUCAAGCCUCAAGGUGCCUUCGAGCUCUGAGAGAAAGCCUUCGAGUUCCAGCAAGUUAUGGAGAAUUUUGAUGAUUGAUGACAAACUUGGAUCAUUUUGAUGCUGCUAUGUUAUGUUUGAUUGGUUGUUUUGUUUGUUGACUUUUGAUUUUGAAUUUGUAUUUGAAUGAGAUUAUAACGUUUUGGUUUAUGUAGUACUUUUAAUUUGAAUGCAUAACACCAGGGAGCCAACAAAUAUGGAGUCAUUAGAUUUCAAAAACAAGUUCAACAAACCACAUUCUCACUUUGAUCCGGCCAGGUUCAACUCUUGUGCCUCUUAUGAAUUCCAUAAGGAGGUUUUGGAAAAACGUCAUCUUUGUGCCACCUAUCUAGUCAAUCUCGACUCACUCACAAACAAAGGUAUCCAUAAGGAGGUUUUGGAAAAACGCCAUUUUUGUGCCACCUAUCUAGUCAAUCUCGACUCACUCACAAAGGUAUCUGCGUUGCUCCUCUGUUUGAACUUCUUCAAUAGACACUGCUACUUCAUAUUCAGAAACCGGUCUAUCCCGGUUUGGUACGUGAGUUCUAUGCCAACAUGCGUCUGAUUAAUGGCACCAUCCACUCCUAUGUCAAGAAUGUUUACAUAACACCGAGGCAAUUGGAACUGCCCUGGGCUAUACGGAUGCAGGGCCAAGAGCUUAUAUGGCUGAGAAGUGGGACUUCCAAGUUGGGGUCACAUACAAAAUCGUCCUGCAACAUAUUUGUAAAAAUUUAUCUGGCUUGGAUGGCACCAUUCCGACCCACAAAGCCCUCGGCCCUACAAACUCUCUGCUUCACAGGAUCAUCACUCACAUCCUGACCCCUUAAAGUGGUUCCCAUAACAGAGUAACAUUUUCUGACUCUCUCAUACUUUUUGCUCGUUACAUCUACUCCUAUUUCAUUUGGUUACCUUAUGAUCAGACACAUGUGGGAAUCAGUU